CUAGCAUAUCCAUAAGCGGAGGAAAAGAAACCAACAGGGAUUGCCUCAGUAACGGCGAGUGAAGCGGCAACAGCUCAAAUUUGAAAUCUGGCCCCUUCGGGGUCCGAGUUGUAAUUUGUAGAGAGUGCUUCGGGGGAGACCGCGGUCUAAGUCCAUUGGAACAUGGCGUCCCAGAGGGUGAGAAUCCCGUAUGUGACCGUGGCUCGAACCCAUGUGAAGCCUCUUCGACGAGUCGAGUUGUUUGGGAAUGCAGCUCAAAAUGGGUGGUAAAUUUCAUCUAAAGCUAAAUACGGGCUGGAGACCGAUAGCGCACAAGUAGAGUGAUCGAAAGAUGAAAAGCACUUUGGAAAGAGAGUUAAAAAGUACGUGAAAUUGUUGAAAGGGAAGCGCUGGCAACCAGACCUGCCCGUAGGCGAUCAGCCGCUGUUCUCAGCGGUGCACUCGCUCUGCGAUCAGGCCAGCAUCGGUUCCGGCGGUCGGACAAAGGCCUUGGGAACGUACCUUCCCUUCGGGGGAGUCUUAUAGCCCUCGGUGCAAUGCGGCCAGCCGGGACCGAGGACCGCGCUUCGGCUAGGAUGCUGGCGUAAUGGUUGUCAGCGACCCGUCUUGAAACACGGACCAAGGAGUCUAACAUCUAUGCGAGUGUUUGGGUGUUAAACCCAUGCGCGGAAUGAAAGUGAACGGAGGUGAGAACCCUGAAGGGCGCAUCAUCGACCGAUCCAGAUGUCUUCGGAUGGAUUUGAGUAUGAGCAUAGCUGUUGGGACCCGAA
rnacentral:rRNA from 1 species